rnacentral:rRNA from 1 species
CCUACGGGAGGCAGCAGUGGGGAAUAUUGGGCAAUGGGCGCAAGCCUGACCCAGCAACGCCGCGUGAAGGAAGAAGGCUUUCGGGUUGUAAACUUCUUUUGUCAGGGAAGAGUAGAAGACGGUACCUGACGAAUAAGCCACGGCUAACUACGUGCCGGCAGACGCGGUCAUACGUAAGUGGCAAGCGUUGUCCGGAUUUACUGGGUGUAAAGGGUGUGUAGCCGGGUUGACAAGUAAGAUGUGAAAUCCUGCGGGCUAACCGUAGAACUGCAUUUGAAACUGAUGAGGUUGAGUACGGGAGAGGCAAGUGGAAUUACUUGUGUAGCGGUGAAAUGCGUAAAUAUUAGGAGGAACACCAGUGGCGAAGGCGGUCUGCUGGACCGGAACUGACAGUGAGGCGCGAAAGCGUGGGGAGCAAACAGGAUUAGAUACCCGUGUAGUC